GAAAUUAAAAAAAAUGUCAGAUGUGAUAAGAAUCGACACAACCAGAGACACCUUCACGUCGGUGAAACUUGAUGCUGAUGUUUCUACAGACCGGAACCAGACAAGUGGCACUGCCCAAAACCGGUGGGUGUAACAGGGGCAACGACUAUCAGGGGAAUAUCUUAUGUGUAUCUCAUACAAUUGUUCAUUUUUAUGGCAAAAUUUCACAUUCACAAAGUGGUUUGACUUUUAAUAAUGAGUUUAAGCUUUAUUGCACUAUUUUACAUAAUGGCAAAAGUGAAAACGCUAUUAGAAUUUAUAAUAUAAACAUUUUACAUUUCUGGCGUUUAGCAGAGACACUUAUCCAGAGUGACUUACAAUUUGAUUCGGUUUAUACAACUGAGCAAUUGAGGGUUAGGGGCCUUGAUCACGUGCCCUGCAGUGGCAGCUUGGUAGACAUGGGAUUUCAACCCAUGACCUUCUGGUGAGUAGUCCAACACCUUCUAACCACUAGGCUACUACAUCCCCACAUACCAUAUAAAUACAUGUAUUAAAUGGAUUGUUGUUUUUUUAUAUAUAUUUCUUUAUGUCUUUGAAUGAAAUAAUUGUAUUGUAUUUCAAUGGUAAAUCUUUAAUCUAUCUACGUCACACAUUAAAAACGUUUAAAAAUAAUUUGUAUUUUAAAAAAUACAGCUUUUUAUUUAAUUAAAACUUUUUUUUAAUGUUUGGGAGUAAAUGGGUUCAUAUGUAGCGUCCUAAUAUAUAUCUAUAAUAUAAGAUAUAAUAUAAUAAGUCGUGAAGCUCCGCCCCCCUGCAAUCAGUGCAGGUUUCAUAAUGAGCUUAUUAUGGAGCGCCUGUGAAAAGGGUUAAAAGGGCAAACACGUGACGCGAUUCUGUGCGCCACAACUUUCCUGAAGCAGUUUGGUGAAAGGUCCUGAGAAGGUUUUACAAUGAAAACCCCGCACAAUGGAGCAGGACUGAAGAAGCAGAAGCGUCCAAGCAGAAAGCCCCUGAGACCCACCAAGGCUUAUUGCAUCUACAUUUACAAACUUAACAAGUCCAGCCCGGCUGUGAAGGACACCGUCGCGGUACCCGGAUGGCUGUGCACGCGCGUCGGGACGGAAGCCGCGCGCCUCGCCAAGUUCAACCGGCGCGGCACGAUCACGCAGCGCGAGGUGUGCUCCGCUGUGCGCGCGCUGAGGAAGGUCACGCGGAUGACUACAGCUCACGCGCUUUGACUCUUAAAAGAUUUCUAUUUAUUUUCUAAUUUUUAACUUUGUUUGUUUUUUGUGGCUUUAAAUAAAGAUGUUUUUAUUAUAA